rnacentral:rRNA from 1 species
AAUGAACGCUGGCGGCAGGCCUAACACAUGCAAGUCGAACGGGUCCUUCGGGGACUAGUGGCGGACGGGUGAGUAACGCGUGGGAACGUGCCCCUUGGUACGGAAUAGCCCCGGGAAACUGGGAGUAAUACCUCAUAGUAUGUGAGAAUCGCAUGGUUUUCACAUUAAAGUUCCAACGGUAAAAGAUGAGCAUGCGUCCCAUUAGCUAGAUGGUAAGGUAACGGCUUACCAUGGCGACGAUGGGUAGGGGUCCUGAGAGGGAGAUCCCCCACACUGGUACUGAGACACGGUCCAGACUCCUACGGGAGGCAGCAGUGGGGAAUUUUGGACAAUGGACGCAAGUCUGAUCUAGCCAUUCCGCGUGCAGGAUGAAGGCCCUCGGGUUGUAAACUGCUUUUGUACGGAACGAAAAGGUCUCUAUUAAUACUAGGGGCUCAUGACGGUACCGUAAGAAUAAGCACCGGCUAACUACGUG